rnacentral:tRNA from 1 species
AAAGGGAGACCUAAUUCGGGUAGGAGACGAAAAAAAAGUAGUCCCUACCAAGAAUCAAUCCCAAAAGGUCGGAGCGAGGCGAAAUUGGCUUUCAAACUAGGUUCUGGGUUCACACAAGACCUGAAUCAGGAACAAGAGCUAUUAGCUCAGGUGGUUAGAGCGCACCCCUGAUAAGGGUGAGGUCCCUGGUUCGAGUCCAGGAUGGCCCACCUGCACAGGUGGCAAAAACAAAAAAGCUCCGAAUCAGCACCUUAUCUUACUUAUAUAGUAAGAGAGAAUGCUGGCUCUGAGUUCAGAGUCCAGAGGAACCUUGAAAACUGCAUAGAGCUAGGUGAAAAAGCCAAAAAAGAAGACCGCAAG